rnacentral:lncRNA from 1 species
GGAGAUUUCUGUGUAGGAAGUUUGGGGAGGAAGGGAGAGAACAAAGACUGGGAAUAGCAGAGAUGAGAGGUGUAAUGUAGUUGUAACAGAGGUUUCGGCAAAAUCAUAGGGCAAGCAGGAGCUGGGCUGGGCCUUCUAGGUUAUCUCUUAGUACGGUGAGGAUGUUGGAUUGGGGGUUGAAGGGCUGGACUAUCCAUCCCUAUAUGGACCAGUCACUGAAUGUGGAGUUAGGCUGUUCUGGGGAAGGAGCAUGAUCUUGAAAGGACAGCUUUCUUUUGAGAAGAAAAAUUCUAGCUCUGAGUUCUCAGGAGCCAACAAUUCCAGCACUUAAGGUGGAAUCCUAAGGUCUAAAGGCAGGAUCUGGAUGGCAACUUGUAACAUCCUUAACAAGGAUAACCACCAAGUUUCAGGAAACUCUUUAUGGCAUCUCCUUGGCAAAUUUGAAUUUCCAGAAUCACCACUUUUAUCCGAAGGAUUCAGUCAAGGCUCGAAGCCCUGGAGCUCACUGUAGAGUCCCUCUCGAGUCUGCGUAAGGAGGCUGAAGGUUCUGCAAUGGAAGCUGAAGAAUCCUCACUGGAAGCCAGGAGAUGAUGUCCACAGCGAAGGUGAAGACUGGAGCUCCUCCAAAAAAAACAGAGCAGCUCAUCCUACUGACUUCUGCACUUGAUUGUAGCCAAGAGGCUGAGAAGCGGUCCUGCUGACUUCCAAAUGGGAAUAUUUGUGGUACAUUUCAGUUCCUUCCUCUCUCAUCUACCUCUUCCAGCUUCAGCAAAUGGUCAAUUAUGCUUCUAAAAUGUUCCUUUUGGAGCUUAUACUCCCAGUUA